GACGAACACUGGCGGCGUGCUUAACACAUGCAAGUCGAACGAUGAAGCUAGAGCUUGCUCUGGUGGAUUAGUGGCGAACGGGUGAGUAACACGUGAGUAACCUGCCCCGAACUCUGGGAUAACUGCUGGAAACGGUAGCUAAUACUGGAUACGACCAACGAAGGCAUCUUCUGUUGGUGGAAAGAAUUUCGGUUCGGGAUGGACUCGCGGCCUAUCAGCUUGUUGGUGAGGUAACGGCUCACCAAGGCGACGACGGGAAGCCGGCCUGAGAGGGUGAUCGGCCACACUGGGACUGAGACACGGCCCAGACUCCUACGGGAGGCAGCAGUGGGAAAUAUUGCACAAUGGGCGCAAGCCUGAUGCAGCAACGCCGCGUGAGGGACGACGGCCUUCGGAUUGUAAACCUCUUUUAGUAGGGAAGAAGCGAAAGUGACGGUACCUGCAGAAAAAGCACCGGCUAACUACGUGCCAGCCGCCGCGGUAA
rnacentral:rRNA from 1 species